rnacentral:rRNA from 1 species
UACGUAGGAUGCGAGCGUUAAUCGGAAUUACUGGGCGUAAAGUGUGCGCAGGCGGCCGCGCAAGUCGAGUGUGAAAGCCCCGGGCUUAACUUGGGAAUUGCGCUCGAAACUACGUGGCUGGAGUGUGGCAGAGGAAGGUGGAAUUCCAGGUGUAGCGGUGAAAUGCGUAGAGAUCUGGAGGAACACCGAUGGCGAAGGCAGCCUUCUGGGCCAACACUGACGCUCAUGCACGAAAGCGUGGGGAGCAAACAGG